AACGAACGCUGGCGGCGUGCCUAACACAUGCAAGUCGAACGAGAAAGCCUUCGGGUGAGUAUAGUGGCGCACGGGUGAGUAACACGUAGGUGACCUACCAUAAAGUGGGGGAUAACUCGGAGAAAUUCGAGCUAAUACCGCAUAUCAAUCAUUGACUUGAAUUAGAUGAUUGAAAGGAUGCCUCUGCAUAUGCAUUUGCUUUUUGAUGGGCCUGCGGGACAUUAGUUUGAUGGUGGGGUAACGGCCUACCUUGGACUACGAUGUCUAGCGGAUCUGAGAGGAUGAUCCGUCACACUGGAACUGAGACACGGUCCAG
rnacentral:rRNA from 1 species